AAGGAAAAAAAUCUUGACUUCCA
rnacentral:sRNA from 1 species